rnacentral:lncRNA from 1 species
AUCUGUGAUCCACAAGAUGUAGAUAGGAUGGAUACUGGGUUGUCUCUGCUUUCUCAGAUUAUCUUCCUCAUCUUGGUCUCAGGAUAAUGUAGAGACCUUCCCUCCCACCUACAAUCACAGAGAAAGGAUGGAACAUGUGUCUUAGUUAGGGUUUUACUGCUGUGAGCAGACACCAUGACCAAGGCAAGAUUAUAAAGGACAACAUUUAAUUGGGGCUGGCUUACAGGUUCAGAGGUUCAGUCCAAAAUCAUGGAGGCAAGAAUCCAGCACCAGCCAGGCAGGCAUGGUGCAAGAGAAGCUGCAUUCUACAUCGUCAUCUGAAGGCCGAUAGCAGGAUACUGACUUCCAGGCAGCUACGGCAUACAGUGUGACCAGCUGGCCGGAGCAUCUACCACCAGGACCUCCCAGCACGGUGUGCCAUUGAACUGAAACCCAAACAAGUCCUUCCUCCUUUACAUUGCUUUCACCAGAGCAUCCAGUCACAGAAUCGGGAACAGUAACUGUGAAGCAAGCUGGGAGUGGACAAUCUGGAUUAAAAUAUCUGCUCUACUACUACUUGGGAAAUAUCAGGCAUGUCAUUUAACCUCCUGGUGAGGUGUGGGCUGUAAGAA